UACAGAGGGGGCAAGCGUUAUUCGGAGUUAUUGGGCGUAAAGGGCGCGUAGGCGGCCUGGCAAGUGGAAGGUGAAAUCCCUCGGCUUAACCGAGGAACUGCCUUCCAAACUGCUUGGCUUGAGUCCGGGAGAGGUGAGUGGAAUUCCCAGUGUAGCGGUGAAAUGCGUAGAUAUUGGGAGGAACACCAGUGGCGAAGGCGGCUCACUGGACCGGAACUGACGCUGAUGCGCGAAAGCGUGGGGAGCAAACGGG
rnacentral:rRNA from 1 species